CACUUUGAUCCCUUGCAGUGACAGGGUCUUUGCUAACAAGCCUCACGACAUUUGAGAUGGUAUGUCACCACCCUUGCUAAACUAGCACAGAAGAAUGAAACAGAAGAAUCACUAAAGGCCUUUAAUAACAUCAAAUGGAAAGGAUGCAAGUAAAACAUCCAGUGAAUUCAAAGCCUUGGUCCUGUCAAUGGAGUUAUUCAUGUCCUUAAAGUAAGCACACGCUUAGGUGCUUCAUUUUCCUUCAGCUCCUAGGUGACCAUCCCUGCAAAGAACAGUAGGAAAAGGAAAACUAAGCUUCUACAUUCAUGGAAUGCAAUUACCACUGAAAACUUCAGGUGCUGGGACAGGUGACUGUUCCUGGAUGUCUGCAAAAAUACCCCUAAAACAGAAGUACAGGCUGGACACAUUCACCAAACACCCCAGCAGUAGCCUUAUGACUAUGAAGUGACAGAGCAACAAUCUGGGACUGAUGAGGAUCCAGCUUCUGGUCACCACCUGACUCUUCCCUUUAAGUUUAAUACACUAAUUGGACAUAUACAUGUGAUAAUUUUAUGAAGUGUGCAGCGGCCUCUACUGGUAAACAGAAAAUGUUACGUGUGUGUGUGUCUGCACAGUGUUCCAUCAAUUCUGAAUAUGCAAGAUAAGAAAAGCUUAUGGGUCUGGCUGCUGAGUCUUCAGAGACCAGUCAUAGCAGGUUCCAUUCAUGCUUGUUUCAUCUCUAAGAUAAAUUUGGAGACAAGUUAAUUCAUCUAUUCCAAACAAAGGCAUCCUUUUUCCUUAACUGUGACCCAUUAAUGUUGAUAAAGUUUAUCCCUUGUAUUUUGGAGGAUCUAUAAACUCCUCUCUACAGUGGCCUCUACCCAAAUGGGAUACAGAGGUGUGGCCACUCUCUGACUUUUUUUUUUAAUCUGCUUUACUCAAUACAUUAAUUUCUAUCCUACACAGUUUUUGAGAUGAGUCUUUAGAUAGAUGAUGAAGAAAAGUGUAGUAAAAACCAAUUCAAUGGUUUCCUGAAUCAUUAUUUUAUGGUUAGGCAUUUGUCUCAUCAUUAUGAAUUCAUCUAGCAUUUCUUGCUUUAGCACCUCUUUUUAUAAGAAGUUCAUUUGGCAUUCAGGUGGAUUUUACAUGCCCCAUUGUAAUUUAUUAUCAACGAAGCAAUAGUUAAUGGAUAUUUAAAAGAAUGUUACUGCUUGUGCUCAAGCUCUGUUAACGCUUUAUUUGCUCCAUUAAUUAAUUUGCUAUAUCUUUAUUGCAGUAAAAAAUCAGUCAUAACUUCACAGUUAGAUAACUGGUACUUGAAUAAACCUGUUUCUUUUCCCCUCUUGAUUAUUCUAGAUCUGCAUGGAGUAUCCAUUUUACCUUUCUUUUUUGAAGAGGGAAAGAUCCUGUGUUAACAAUAAACACUCAGCGGGCAGUGUGGUUCAAGGGUUAGGGCACUGGAGCGGAGUCAGGAGAUUUGGGG